rnacentral:rRNA from 1 species
AUUGAACGCUGGCGGCAGGCCUAACACAUGCAAGUCGAACGAGUGGCGGACGGGUGAGUACUGUCUGUGAAACUGCCCGUUGGAGGGGGAUAACUACUGGAAACGGGGGCUAAUACCGCAUACCAUCGGAUGUGCCCCGAUGGGAUUAGCUCGUCGGUGGGGUAACGGCUCACCUAGGCGACGAUCCCUAGCUGGUCUGAGAGGAUGACCAGCCACACUGGGACUGAGACACGGCCCAGACUCCUACGGGAGGCAGCAGUGGGGAAUAUUGCACAAUGGGCGCAAGUCUGAUGCAGCCAUGCCGCGUGUAUGAAGAAGGCCUUCGGGUUGUAAAGUACUUUCAGCGAGGAGGCGUUACUCGCAGAAGAAGCACCGGCUAACUCCGUGCCAGCAGCCGCGGUAAUUC